UGGCCUGCAAACUGUGAAGCUGACUACUU
rnacentral:piRNA from 1 species